UAACACAUAGUGGAGGACCGAACCCGUUGACGUUGAAAAGUCUUGGGAUGACCUGUGGGUAGGGGUGAAAGGCCAAUCAAGCUCGGAAAUAGCUCGUACUCCCCGAAAUGCAUUUAGGUGCAGCGUUCUGAUAGUUAUAUAGAGGUAGAGCUACUGAUUGGAUGCGGGGGCUUCACCGCCUACCAAUUCCUGACAAACUCCGAAUGCUAUAAAAUGUUGUUGAGCAGUGAGGGCAUGGGUGCUAAGGUCCAUGUCCGAGAGGGAAAGAACCCGGACCAUCAGCUAAGGUCCCCAAAUAUGUGCUAAGUUGACAAAACGCGGUGGGACUGCACAGACAGCCAGGAUGUUGGCUUGGAAGCAGCCAUUCAUUUAAAGAGUGCGUAACAGCUCACUGGUCGAGCGGUCCCGCAUGGAUAAUGAUCGGGCAUAAGCACAUUACCGA
rnacentral:rRNA from 1 species